rnacentral:rRNA from 1 species
UACAGAGGUCUCAAGCGUUGUUCGGAAUCACUGGGCGUAAAGGGUGCGUAGGCCGCACGGUAAGUCAGAGGUGAAAUCCCGGAGCUCAACUUCGGAAUUGCCUCCGAUACUGCCGUGCUUGAGGACUGGAGAGGAGAUUGGAAUUCACAGUGGAGCAGUGAAAUGCGUAGAUAUCGGGAGGAACAUCAGUGGCGAAGGCGACUGCCUGGCCCAACACUGACGCUGAGGUGCGAAAGCGUGGGUAGCAAACAGG